rnacentral:rRNA from 1 species
UAGGGAAUCUUCCACAAUGGACGCAAGUCUGAUGGAGCAACGCCGCGUGAGUGAAGAAGGUUUUCGGACCGUAAAGCUCUGUUGUUGGUGAAGAAGGAUAGAGGUAGUAACUGGCCUUUAUUUGACGGUAAUCAACCAGAAAGUCACGGCUAACUACGUGCCAGCAGCCGCGGUAAUACGUAGGUGGCAAGCGUUGUCCGGAUUUAUUGGGCGUAAAGCGAGCGCAGGCGGAAGAAUAAGUCUGAUGUGAAAGCCCUCGGCUUAACCGAGGAAUUGCAUCGGAAACUGUUUUUCUUGAGUGCAGAAGAGGAGAGUAGAACUCCAUGUGUAGCGGUGGAAUGCGUAGAUAUAUGGAAGAAUACCAGUGGCGAAGGCGGCUCUCUGGUCUGCAACUGACGCUGAGGCUCGAAAGCAUGGGUAGCGAACAGGAUUAGAUACCCUGGUAGUCCAUGCCGUAAACGAUGAGUGCUAAGUGUUGGGAGGCUUCCGCCUCUCAGUGCUGCAGCUAACGCAUUAAGCACUCCGCCUGGGGGAGUACGACCGCAAGGU